AGCCCUCCCUAAUUAGCAGCAGAGCCAUGUGCGGCUGUGCUGCGAGCCCCAUCCUAAUUAGAAAGGACUCGCAGACGGGUCACAUCGACAGCAUGAGGAGGUUUCUCCACCCUCUUCAGCCCUCUCUGCUGCUUCUCCUCUGUGCUGUCCGUGGACCUUGGCUUCUGAACGCCUCUGGAAAGGAGCAGAGCAGCUUGAAAGACACCUCGAUUUCUUGAUGAAGCCACAAGUCAGAACACAGCCCCGCCUUUGUGGAAGUGACAUGUGAACAGAAAGAGGUGAAAGCGAGGCUUUGCCUUCUAGAAGCUCAGUAUAACCAAACAACCUAUUGACUCCCCUGCUACGAGGUGUCUGCUUUCACAGGCUGCAUUGAACAUGAUGGAUGCUUCUCUGGUCCGAGGCAUCGCGGCAUUAACCGUGUGUGCACCGCCUCUGCUGCAGGGCGCUCUUCCCAGUCUCCAAAUUGACAUGAAGGGACAGAGAUGCUGUAGCUACACACUGGAGAAACAGGUCAAAACUGCAAGCUUUCAAGAAGAGAGUAAACGGCUUCACUUCAAUACCUCUUUCUUGUCUCUGCUCCCUGACACAUGGCUAGCUCAUCAAUAUCUUCCUCUCUAUGACAACCCCAAGGGAAACAAGACGCUUUGAGAGGAAGAGGGGCUAUUUGAACAAGAAUGCUGAGUGGCUUUCAAAAGUAGCUAUUGUUUAUUAUAGAUCUGCUGAGAUAUUUUGGAAAGAGCAUCAGCUUUUAAAGCCACGCUGAAAUCCCAAGCAGCUUGGCUCACUUGCAGCUCGGGUUGAGCAGAGAUGCAGCUUGCCCUGGAGGAGCUGUUUGAGGUCAGGUGCUGGGAACAGCCUGGAGGAGGCACGUAAGGGCCUAUCCAGAAGGCUCUCAAAUACCUGUUAGGUCUCCUCCAGCACUGGUUUUAUUCCAUCUCUAACUAAUUGGCUGGGCACAGAGGUGGUGUGCUUCUAGAUGUUUCCUUGGCAUGAGGUUGAAGCAGCUUUGUCAGGCUGGCCCUGUAGAUCUUCUGCCUACACCGUGUAGGAAAGGCCUUUGCAAAGUGAGACAUCCCUGCCCUGAGCUCAUCAUUUCCCUGUACUGAGAGCUACAACCUCGGGAAUCCUAAAACCCACCUCUGGAGCAGGUAGUCCUGCUCUGAUGUGCACCGUGCUGCUGCAUCGCGGUGGUUUGGUCCUGCCCAUAGCCUCGAGUGUCUGGGAUACCCUGGGGUCCCUUUGGCCUGUGGAAGGAAUCAUAAUCAUCACCCAUUUCUCUUCAGCAAUGGAACAGGGCAAAAAGCACACCUUGAGGAGGAUGGUCACAAUUUAAAAGAGGAACAAAGAAAAGUUUAGUGUAAGCAGCAUUAUCUUUUGCUUUUUGAUGUAAAUGGCCGAGGUUCAAACACCGCCACAAGCCUGGACAGGUGGCCGUUUCGUAGUUACGAUAAAUAAUUUAAAUGACAAAUCCAGACCUGUCUCUUGGUCCUGUAUUAUUCAUGAAUGAACAGGCUUGUUUUUUAUGACAAUGUUCCUUAAUCAAACACAGCCCAUGAUGCGUCUCAGUCCUUGAGUUCAUUUCGAUUGCGCCUGGCUGGGUGCCAUCCUUUCGUGGCUGUUUUCUGUUUUGCAAAAUGUGUUACCUAGAUCGUAUUACUUCUGCUCCCUUCCUGGGGGACCGAAACUCUUGUACACAGCAGGGAGAUCUCCGCACGGCUGCGUGUCCUUUUUGUGGUGAAACUUCAUUCAAAUGCAUAUUUCUGAGAAUUUCCCUUUGUACAAUUGCUUUUACUAUCAAAAAUAUCAUUCAUGUGAACACUCGUGGCAGAAGUCAGAAGUAUCACCGAGGAAAACAUUCAAGCAUCAUUCACAUAAAUCUUUGCAGACACUUCACUGUUGUUUGCUCACUUUGUCUUGCACGGGCUUCACCAGGAGGGUCUGGGCAUGUGCGGGGCUGGCUCUUUUCUCUGAGCAUCUCCGCAUCCCUUUCAUUUUGCUGGAGCUGGUGAGGGCAAAGUCGGUUUUCCAGGUGAAUUUCUGAGGUUUAGAGAUUGCUGAGGAGAUGUAAGCAUUGUGACUCGAGCACCAUGUGUUGAAGAAACAGGAUUCACUUCCCAGUCCUUUACAGACUUCCAUUUGCAUUUGUCAAACGGGAAUAAUGAUGUUUACUUUCCCAGCUACCAUUUACUUGUCCUACCAGCUUACUGGCUACGUGCAUAGGUGUGUGCCACAUUAAAACACAAAUCCAGCCUUUUGUAAGAAUGUACAAACUGCUGAAAUACGGUGUCUAGGGGGAAGAGUUGCCCUGGUGCUCAUACGAGCAAUUUGCUCACACACGGCUGAUUUGCUCCCCUGUUGUUGCCACUAAAAGCUGAUGGUGCUUACUGCUUUCAUUCAUCCCCUGAAAUAUAAAUGUCUGUUUAAAAAAAAAUAUAUAUUUCUGCCUCAUUCCCUAAAAAUAAGCUCAUAGAAACUUAGGAGAAAUUAGGAAGAAUUUUAUUUAUUUCUUCUUCGGUGAAUGAGCAGUCACAGAAUUGAAAAAGUUGGAAAUCCAAAUGAGAAAA